GAUGAACGCUCGCGGCGUGCCUAAUACAUGCAAGUCGAGCGAACAGACGAGGAGCUUGCUCCUCUGACGUUAGCGGCGGACGGGUGAGUAACACGUGGAUAACCUACCUAUAAGACUGGGAUAACUUCGGGAAACCGGAGCUAAUACCGGAUAAUAUAUUGAACCGCAUGGUUCAAUAGUGAAAGACGGUUUUGCUGUCACUUAUAGAUGGAUCCGCGCCGCAUUAGCUAGUUGGUAAGGUAACGGCUUACCAAGGCAACGAUGCGUAGCCGACCUGAGAGGGUGAUCGGCCACACUGGAACUGAGACACGGUCCAGACUCCUACGGGAGGCAGCAGUAGGGAAUCUUCCGCAAUGGGCGAAAGCCUGACGGAGCAACGCCGCGUGAGUGAUGAAGGUCUUCGGAUCGUAAAACUCUGUUAUUAGGGAAGAACAAAUGUGUAAGUAACUAUGCACGUCUUGACGGUACCUAAUCAGAAAGCCACGGCUAACUACGU
rnacentral:rRNA from 1 species